rnacentral:snoRNA from 1 species
AAACCAUGCAUUGGACAUUUUUUAAUUAAUUCCUUGAAACGCUCCUAUGCCUCGUAUAAUGCCUCAUCUUCAAAUAGUCUAAACGAUGUAAUGUCAUUCCUCAGCUU